ACGAGCCUGUUUUGAACAAUCUCUUUCUCCUUCUCCUCUUAAUUUCCCCUUCGUUUUCUUCAAACUUUUACUCGUUUUUGCCUUCAAUAUUUUCUUUAUUUAGUCAUUUUCAUUAUCAUCUAUACAUACAUACAUUUAUAUAUAUAUAUAUAUAUAUAAACAUAUGCAUGUAGCCAAGUUUCUGUAUGUUGCUUUGAUAUAUAUGUUUUUGUCUCUUCUACUUCAACUUUUUAGUUACCUAUGUCUAUUUCUGCUAUAUUCGCCUUAUCCUCUGAAAAGAUGUGUGUAUAUAGAUAAAUCAAUAUGUACAUAGAAACAAUUAUAUAGUAUAUAUAUAUAUAUGCAUACCGAUGGUGGAAAGGGAGAGAAAAAUGGCGGACAUUCACACAAAUGUAUGGAGGAGGGAGUCUAUGAAGGCUGUGCACGUCUACACUCCGUGUGGGUGUGCCAAAUGUUUAACUCUGCAUGUUGAAAAUCCUCAAACUUACUGACAACAUAAAACAAGUUUAUUGCAUCAUUUUACUGCAUAGUUUCAACUGAGCCACAAUUCCUUACAAACUUUGUAGGAAAUGGACCAAAUAUGAUGUGAAGAGACUAUUUCUGAGCAUACAGGAUGCAUUGGUUUCAAGAAUUCCCAAUGAAAAUUUGCAUUUCAUAGAUUAAGAGAGGAGAGAUUAGCAUCAGCUAUAGCAAGUGACAAACUGAAGCUAUUAGUUGAAGAGAAGCCAGACUUAAUUUUCUAAGAAACAACUUUUAGGAGUAGUAUUUUGCCAGUUCACAUCAUCUGUAAUAAAGGGGAAAAGAGAAGCUUGUCCAAUGAAUUGUACAAGGACUUCACAUUUAAAACUGUCACUGUACAUACCGGCUUGAUAUAUCACCUAUCAUAUUCCUUAGCAUUUACAGUAACUGAACAGCUGUACUGAUAAAUUUCAAUCUAUCCAGAAAAUUUGUUUGGCUGUAGGAGAGUUCGCCACAGGAAAUUUUGCCGCAAAACAAUUUCACCGAAAAAAUGAUGAAUUGCUCCCUUGGUACAUAAUUGUUUCAACCAACCUAACUUUUAUUAGAGAAACCAAUAGGAAGGGGUAAAGUUAUUGCAUAACAUUUAAAAUUUCUUUAUUCAUUUGACAAUAUUUUUUUGUGUAGCCAACCCAUUACAAUAGUCUAUUAAGUGGGAACUAGCAGAGGCAGUUUGAAAUUAGUUGAUGAUCUUAACUUUGUUUAUAGGAUAGAUAGAAAAUACGGUGAAAAAUCAUAUUGGAAAUGUGAAAAUAGAGAAUGUAAAGCAAGAGUGCAUCCCAUGCUGGAGAACAAUAAUUUAUCUAUACGUAAAACAUUCAGCAAGCAUUGCUGUCCUUCUCAGCCUUCAAAGCUGAAAGUUUACAUAGUGAAAAUGAAAUUGAAAUCACUAGCCACUAAUUCACAAACUUCUGCAUGGUCAUUAAUUGCAGAAAUUUCAUCUAGUUUAGAUGAUAAUGCAUGGUCACUGAUGCUGAUGCCAUCGCAUUUGUCUCGCAAUAUCAGAGGUUGGAGGCAAAAGAAAAGCCAAGCUCACCCAAUCCCAACUGGAAGAAGUGGGUGUAUAAUACCUGAAGAAUAUAGAUUUCUUGAAAAUGGUGAGAAGUUUUUAUUAUACUAUAUUGGUGAAGAUAAUCCAGAGAGACUGUUAGUAUUUGGCACACAAGUUGGGUUAGAUGACCUUGAGAAUAAUAAGGAUUGGCCUUGUGAUGGAACUUUUAAAUGCAGCCCAGAUAUCUAUUAUCAGUUGUUCACGUUACAUAUUGUCAUAUGAAAUAUUAACAUACCACGUCUUUUUGUUUUGCUACAACAUACAGAAGGCUUAGCGCUUUGAAGGACUUACACCCAUCAUUAGAGCCUGAAAUCUUAAUGGUUGAUUUCGAGAAAGCAAUUAUCAAUACCUUUUGUGAUAUAUUUCCAACAGGUUGUUUAUUUCAUAUGGCUAAGAAUAUCUAUCACGACAUUGUGAAUAUAAGUAUAAAACCUUGUUAUCAAACAGAUGCAGAAUUUAACAAUGCUUCACUGCAUUAGCAUUUCUUCUAGUGCGUGAUAUUAUUGAUGGUUUUCUUGAACUGAUGAUGAUGAUUUGCUUCAAGAAUUUGUAUCAUACUUUGAAACUCAUUAUAUAGGAAGAGAAUGAGGUUGAGGUGAGCAAAGACGAAGAAUGCAACCAGCUUUUCCUAUCUAAGUGUGUGUGGAAUGUCUUCGAAAGAACCCAGAAUAAUACGAUGAGAACAAACAACAGCGUAGAAGGCUUCCACAUUGCAAUGCAAAGCUCCAUUACUAACAUGCACCCAAAUUUGUGGAAACUUGUUACAUAUUUGAAAAAGGAAGAGACAUUACUGAAAAAGAAAAAGUGUCAUUUAGAUUGAGCAAAUGCAGUCCUAAUAAAGAAAAUAUAUAUUGAUAUCAAUGAAAGAAUUUAGUGGAAAACACUUCAUUAUAAAUAUGAAAAUGCUUCAAUAUAAACGUUUACAAAGAACAAAAAGAAAACAAAAAAACAGUUACAUCUAAAACAGAAUUAUAAAAAUCAUUUAUAUAUAAAGCAAUUUUUUUCAGAGCUGCAAUUUCUCUAAAUCAGGUUGCCUGCCAUAUCUUCGAAAUUACCUAUAUGACAAAGUUUCCUAUGAUGAUAAUUCCUGAGGUGAGUUUUCUUGCGGUAAAAAUGUUUAUAGCGAAUAUUCCAAGAACCAAAUUUCAAGGAUAUUAAAGAAGUCUAGGACUCUGGUUAUUUUUGGGUAGUCACAGAUAAUUGUGUUCUUCAUUGGUAAAAGUGAUUGAUGUUUCUUGUACUUGAAUUUAUUGAUUAAUAAAGUUGAACUGACUAA